rfam:Triticum aestivum genome assembly, contig: Triticum_aestivum_CS42_TGACv1_scaffold_592075_7BS
AUAGUACUUCCUCCGUCCGGAAAUACUUGUCAUUAAAAUGGAUAAAAAUAGAUGUAUUUAAAACUAAAACAUCGUCUAGAUACAUCCUCUUUUAUCCAUUUUGAUGACAAGUAUUUUCGGACGAAGGGAGUAUUUA